rnacentral:tRNA from 1 species
GGGAAUGGUCGGGAUAGCU